CCGUGGCAAACAGCUCAGUAACACGUGGCCAAACUACCCUAUGGACGUGGACACCCUCGGGAAACUGAGGCUAAUCCACGAUACGGCUCCCACGCUGGAAGGCGGGGAGCCGGAAACGCUCCGGCGCCAUAGGAUGUGGCUGCGGUCGAUUAGGUAGACGGUGGGGUAACGGCCCACCGUGCCCAUAAUCGGUACGGGAUGUGAGAGCAAAUAGCCCGGAGAUGGUAUCUGAGACAAGAUACCAGGCCCUACGGGGCGCAGCAGGCGCGAAACCUUUACACUGCACGCCAGUGCGAUAAGGGGACCCCGAGUGCGAGGGCAUACAGUCCUCGCUUUUGUACACCGUAAGGAGGUGUACGAAUAAGGGCUGGGCAAGACCGGUGCCAGCCGCCGCGGUAAUACCGGCAGCCCGAGUGAUGGCCGCUGUUAUUGGGCCUAAAGCGUCCGUAGCCGGCCGGACAAGUCUGUCGGGAAAUCCAUCCGCCUAACGGAUGGGCGUCCGGCAGAUACUGUUCGGCUUGGGGCCGGAAGAUCCGAGGGGUACGUCCGGGGUAGGAGUGAAAUCCUGUAAUCCUGGACGGACCGCCGGUGGCGAAAGCGCCUCGGAAGGACGGACCCGACGGUGAGGGACGAAAGCUGGGGUCUCGAACCGGAUUAGAUACCCGGGUAGUCCCAGCCGUAAAC
rnacentral:rRNA from 1 species